ACAAUUGAGAAAUUGAGGCACAGGAAAGUUAAACUGAUUGCUCAAUUACUAAAUGAGAAAACUUGGGCUGAGAGUCAAGUGGCUCAGCUAUUAAAUAAUUGCAAACUGGCUGCUAUAGCUCCAACCAUCACACCUACAUUCCAGAAAGGAAGAAGGAGGAAGAAAAGCAGCAAAAACCUCACCUAAUAACUUUAGCGUACAUAUCACUCUCAUGAACUUAGUUGCAUGGUCACUUCCAGCUGUAGGGGAGGAUGGGAUAAUAGGUUUAUUAUUUGUUUUUAAUUUUGACACAUGAUUGCUCCCUAAUAAAAUUAGUUUUGCUAGUGUGAAAAGGAAAAGAUGAACAUUGAGUGAACUACCAAUAGUUUCUUCCCUGACACAAGACAUUCUCAUUCACUAUGGGGAAGAAUUCCACGAAUUCUCAUGUGGCUAAAGGAAUACUUGUAUAUCAGUUACCUAUAGCUGCAUGACGACCCCUGACUUUCAGUGGUAAGCAGUAACCCUCCCUCUAGCUCACUUUGAGCUGGAAACUGAGGCUGGGCUCUGUUGAGUUACUCUGGUCUCCGAUGGACUCUCAAAUCUCUACAAUCAGCUGCAGAUCUCACGGAUCCCUGAGGAGCCUCAGCUUGGAACUGGGAAAACUGUUGGGAAGUCUAAUUAAAAGAGAACAACGUGAUAUGCGGAUUAGUUGAACUCGAUAGGGUCAAGUCAGGCACGGUUUCUUACCUCUCCUCUGAGUUAGUGGAGAAAAAUUCUGUAACAGGAAAAAAAAAAAAAAAAAAAACAUUAGCAAAUGAUAGGGUACAAAUAGACCUAGUUAGGUUGGAUUUUCACAAAGAGUGAGAUAACAGGCUUUGAAAAAAACUUUAAAGGGAAAUAAAUAGCCAGGUGUUAGAGUCACAGAGCUGGCAGGACAAUAAUAGUAACUAUAAUAAGAACUAGGAGGCAGGUGCUGCUGGCAAUGGACGUGGCCAUGACCUGCUGCUUUAGCUAGUUCUGCGAGCCCAGUGCCUGUGCAUUAAUGAUUAGAGGAGAAGCGGGUGAUGUCCAGAACUUCGCGGAGGAUGUUUUCUCAUAAUGGCCAGUUGGUUUUACAUGAUACCUUGACAGAUGAAAAUAAGGACUAUACCCAUAAUGGUAAUAAUGACAGUAAUCAUAGCAUUUAUUGGGCACUUAUUCUGUGCCAGGAACUCUUUUUAGUAUGUUACCCUUGUUAUCUCAUCGAAUCUUCACAGUCUUUUACGAGUGAGGAAAUUGAGGUCUGGAGACAUUAAA